rnacentral:rRNA from 1 species
UAACACGUAGGUAACCUGCCUUUAAGGACUUGGGAUACCCAGAGGAAACUUUGGCUAAUACCGGAUAACAAUGGAGGAGGCAUCUCCUCAUUUAAAAGGCCCUUUCAAGGGUCACUUAGAGAUGGACCUGCGGCGCAUUAGCUAGUUGGUGAGAUAACAGCCCACCAAGGCAAGGAUGCGUAGCCGACCUGAGAGGGUGAUCGGCCACAUUGGAACUGAGACACGGUCCAAACUCCUACGGGAGGCAGCAGUGAGGAGUUUUCGGCAAUGGGGGAAACCCUGACCGAGCAACGCCGCGUGAAUGAAUGACGGCCCUAUGGGUUGUAAAGUUCUUUUAUUAGGGACGAAUGAUUAGCUUAGGAAAUGAAGCUAGUUUGACGGUACCUUUUGAAUAAGCCACGGCUAACUACGUGCCAGCAGCUGC